UUUUUUUUUUUCUUAUUUGCAAACCGAGUUAAAAGAAACAGUGCUUCAACCACUCUUAAAAAUAAUUAAAUUGCACUUGUAUUCUUCAGGUAAUGACCUGCCUGUAGGCAGAAUAGCACGAAUGAAGCCUACUCUGUGCUACCUCUACCUAAACCAACACUUCCAAAUUACGCACAAGUUAAACUCCAUCAGGGCGAAACAUAGCAGGACGAGACCGAGCAGACAACAUCAGCACUGUAAUUCAUUAGUAACAUUGCAAACUCACACACAGACUCCGGUUAAUGCUGAGACACCACACGGAUUACAAUACCUGAGAUUUAGUGCAUUCCUUUGAGCCAGAAUUGAAAUGAGUGCCGUAGAGGAGGGAAGGAAAAGAGGAACAAAUGUCAGACAUGCUCCACAUUGCGUCUGCCAAAACGAACACUAUGCUCAUCUCAGUGCGGAACGGCAGUGCAGACCAGCCGUGCGCUUUAGCCAUGCACUGGAGGUCAUCCUGACUCAUCCCAGCUACACGGGCGACUCGACUCCAAGACCAGCUUUCCACCCCAGCCCCGCUACACUAGCCGGCUCUUCUCCAAGACACAGAUUCUGUUAUGAACAAUAUGACUCACAGCAAAUGAAGAAUAACAGUUUCCAUCUAAAUCUGGUUUACUGUGCCUAUCAAACAUAUAAAACAAACUUUGUUGUCC
rnacentral:lncRNA from 1 species